AAGCAGUAAAUGCGAGUGAGAAGAAAAAGAUUACAUUUAGACUACUCCUAGAAAAGCGAUAAAAUGCAGAGAAAUAAUGGUGGUCUUUUGUGCGCAGGGGCAAAGACCCCUAUUGCAGGCUUCAAAGUUACUAUUUAUAGCCCACAUUAUUAGUUGGUUGAAAGUAAUUGGGGGGAGUGGUUGUAACCAUGAUCGUGCAAGUUAUACUAACUCCUUAUGGAAGUUACGCCCCAAUCUUCAACCGUUCCCGCCUUCUUGUCCUUCAGGCGCCUUAUUGCCGACUCCUAGUGUACCACGUGUCUUUAUUGGCUCAUACGUGGAUUAGGUCGGCUCAAUUUUGGUAUCAACACUCAGAUCAAUAUCACCGAAAAUUUUAAGUAAAAAAAAAAAAAGAAAAGAAAAAGUUGGGGCCUUUCAGAGAGUCACUUCCGAAAUCUACUACUAGUUGCUUAUCAACUGCCCAUCUUUUCAUAUUUGCUUAAAUAUCUCUGAAAUAUUUUCCACCUUUUGUAAUUAUUAAAGCUUCGUGCCCACUGAAAGUGAUUGUUUGACUAGAAUGUUUCAUGAUGUAUAUUUUUUAGGGAUAAUUGCCAAUAUACCCUUCAUGCGUUUGAAUAUAUCCGAUUUGCCCCUACUUUUUUUUUCUUUCUAAAAUACCCCUCAUAUGUUCCACCGUUAUUUAAAAUACCCCCGCAGUUAUCCCCUGUUAAACUAACUCGGGUUAAACAUGGGUUAAAUGUAAACCAGAGUUAAAACCUAAUUAAAAUACCUACUUUACCCCUAUCUAUUAAACUAUUUCCUUAAAUUAUCCUUUCUUCUUCUGCCAACUUAAUAUCAUUACUCUCGAUCAAGCCCGCCGCUCGC
rnacentral:lncRNA from 1 species